rnacentral:rRNA from 1 species
GACGAACGCUGGCGGCGUGCCUAAUACAUGCAAGUUGAGCGCUGAAGGUUGGUACUUGUACCAACUGGAUGAGCAGCGAACGGGUGAGUAACGCGUGGGGAAUCUGCCUUUGAGCGGGGGACAACAUUUGGAAACGAAUGCUAAUACCGCAUAAAAACUUUAAACACAAGUUUUAAGUUUGAAAGAUGCAAUUGCAUCACUCAAAGAUGAUCCCGCGUUGUAUUAGCUAGUUGGUGAGGUAAAGGCUUACCAAGGCGAUGAUACAUAGCCGACCUGAGAGGGUGAUCGGCCACAUUGGGACCGAGACACGGCCCAAACUCCUACGGGAGGCAGCAGUAGGGAAUCUUCGGCAAUGGACGAAAGUCUGACCGAGCAACGCCGCGUGAGUGAAGAAGGUUUUCGGAUCGGAAAACUCUGUUGGUAGAGAAGAACGUUGGUGAGAGUGGAAAGCUCAUCAAGUGACGGUAACUACCCAGAAAGGGACGGCUAACUACGUG